UGCUAGUCGAGCGCCUUCUAGCCAAAAGGAGGCGCGGCGCACAGCUCAGUAGCACGUGGCUAACCUGCCCUUGGGAUAGGAACAACCCCGGGAAACUGGGGCUAAUUCCCAAUAGGUGAAGAACUCUGGAAUGAGUCUUCGCCAGAAAGGACUCCUACACUAUGCUUGUAGGUUUCGCCCAAGGAUGGGGCCGCGACCGAUCAGGUUGUUGGUGAGGUAAUGGCUCACCAAGCCUUUUACCGGUGCGGGCCGUGGGAGCGGAAGCCCGGAGAUGGGCACUGAGACAAGGGCCCAGGCCCUACGGGGCGCAGCAGUCGCGAAAACUUUGCAAUAAGCGCAAGCUUGACAGAGCUAUCCCGAGUGCCAUCCGCUGAGGAAGGCUUUUACCCAGUCUAGAACGCUGGGGGAAUAAGGAGAGGGCAAGUCUGGUGUCAGCCGCCGCGGUAAUACCAGCUCUCCGAGUGGUGUGGAUGUUUAUUGGGCCUAAAGCAUCCGUAGCUGGCUAGGUUAGUCCCCUGUUAAAUCCACCGAUUUAAUCGUUGGUGUGCGGGGGAUACUGCUCGGCUAGGGGACGGGAGAGGCAGACGGUAUUCCCGGGGUAGGGGUGAAAUCCUAUAAUCCCGGGAAGACCACCAGUGGCGAAGGCUGUCUGCUAGAACGCGCCCGACGGUGAGGGAUGAAAGCUGGGGGAGCGAACCGGAUUAGAUACCCGGGUAGUCCCAGCUGUAAACGAUGCAGGCUAGGUGUUUGGACGGCCACGUGCCGUUCUAGUGCCGCAGGCAAGCCGUUAAGCCUGCCGCCUGGUGAGUACGGCCGCAAGGCUGAAACUUAA
rnacentral:rRNA from 1 species